GUAGGGUGCAGGCGUUAAUCGGAAUUACUGGGCGUAAAGCGUGCGCAUGCGGUUUGCUAAGACAGGUGUGAAAUCCCCGGGCUUAACCUGGGAACUGCGCUUGUAACUGGCAAGCUAGAGUGUGGCAGAGGGGGGUGGAAUUCCACGUGUAGCAGUGAAAUGCGUAGAGAUGUGGAGGAACACCGAUGGCGAAGGCAGCCCCCUGGGCUAACACUGACGCUCAUGCACGAAAGCGUGGGGAGCAAACAGGAUUAGAUACCCUGGUAGUCCACGCCCUAAACUAUGUCAACUGGUUGUCGGGGAAGCAAUUCCUUGGUAACGAAGCUAACGCGUGAAGUUGACCGCCUGGGGAGUACGGCCGCAAGGUUA
rnacentral:rRNA from 1 species